GAACGCGAAGAACCUUACCAAGACUUAAAUNGGAAUUGACAGCUUUAGAAAUAGAGCUUUCUUCGGACAAUUUUCAAGGUGCUGCAUGGUUGUCGUCAGCUCGUGCCGUGAGGUGUUAGGUUAAGUCCUGCAACGAGCGCAACCCCUGUCACUAGUUGCCAUCAUUCAGUUGGGGACUCUAGUGAGACUGCCUACGCAAGUAGAGAGGAAGGUGGGGAUGACGUCAAAUCAUCACGGCCCUUACGUCUUGGGCCACACACGUAAUACAAUGGCCGGUACAGAGGGCAGCUACACAGCGAUGUGAUGCAAAUCUCGAAAGCCGGUCUCAGUUCGGAUUGGAGUCUGCAACUCGACUCUAUGAAGCUGGAAUCGCUAGUAAUCGCGCAUCAGCCAUGGCGCGGUGAAUACGUUCCCGGGUCUUGUACACACC
rnacentral:rRNA from 1 species